GCUGUAAAUAAAGAAUUUGCAUUAGUCACUACUUCCUGCUAUUUUUUGUAAUAUUCAUCAGUAUAAACAUAAAUAUUUACAAUAUUUUAUGAAUGCUUGCGAAUUGUUUAAAGUGGUGAUUAGUGUGCUGCUGGUACAUAUCGGAAAUGCUUUUACACACAUGUAUCUAAGCAAACAAAUUAUAUCAAAAAAUAUUUAGGUUAUUUUUAUACUCUCGCAACGUGUUGUACCGAGUAUAAUAAUAGCAGUUUCGUUCACCUAAGUAACACCUAAAGCUAAAGAACUUAGAUAUCUGUAGAUGGUAAAACGAGGACAAGACGAAAAAUCUCCUGUCAUCAAACAAACAGUCAGCGCAUUCGCGUCUGGGCUCCCACGUCACUGUUGACAGUCAUAACUUUGAAGUUGUAGAUAAUUUCGUAUACCUGGGCACCAGCAUCAACACCGAUAAUAAUGUCAGGCUUGAAAUCCAACGCAGAAUCACUCUUGCCAACAGGUGCUACUAUGGACUGAGUAGGCAAUUGAAAAGUAAAGUCAACUCGCGACGAACAAAAACCAAACUCUACAAGUCCCUCAUCAUUUCCGUUCUCCUUUAUGGUGCAGAAGCGUGGACGAUGACAACAUCCGAUGAGACUACUCUUGGGGUUUUCGAGAGAAAGGUUUUGCGUGAGAUUUAUGGUCCUCUGAACAUUGGCAACGACGAAUACCGCAGACGAGGUGGAGAAGGACCUGUCUUCACUUGGUAUUACCAAUUGGCGCCAAACUGCCAAAAGGAGAGAUGCGUGGCGCACUGUUGUAGACUCGGCUAUAACCGCGUAAGCGGUGUCUACGCCGGUCAAGAAGAAGAGAAGAUGGUAAAAUUGUACUCUUGUCACUAAGUCCCGCCCCUAAUAGGUGUCUUGCAUAUGUAUACUUCGUAAACUACAAAAGAUAUAUCAAUCAAACUUACUAGAGCCAUCGAAUAAUAAAAAAGUCAGAAACACUAUCUUUAACAAUAAUAAAAAAUGCAUACCAGCUUUAUUGGUAUUAAAAUUGAACAAUGGUCAUGGCCACUCCCACUUGUAUAUCAAAAACCAAAACUCAGAAAGGACCAGACCAAUUUGAACAAAAUUCGGUACACAACGAUAAGUCAGUUUACAAUUACUUCAACUUGCCAAAUAACCUCCUUUUUAACUCCGCCUGAUUAUUUCACUUUGGGACAAGUUUAUAUGACAGAUGCUAUUAAAAGUCAAAGUUUGAUCUUCGAAAAAUUCUGGACCUCUUGUAACAUUUUUCAUAUAAUAUUGACGAAAACGUUUUAUAUACCAUUGAACUAAGAAAAAAAUUUAGAUCAUGUCUAUAUUUUGGAUUUUUUAGUAACUAGGACACAGAAUAAUUAAUAAUAAUUUUUUAAAAAGUCUUUUUUCUGAACUUCGAAUCCAAAUGUUUUUAUUUUCGAAGGUAACUUCGAAAAUCGAAGAAUAAAAAUUUUUUACUAAUGACUCAAUCUCCCGGAAAACAUAGUUUGGCCCAAUAUCCAGCCGAGUGUUGGAAAGUGAUAUUGAAUACGAGUAUAUUUUUAUGUUUAUAACGCAGAUAUCUGAAUAGAAAGUGGCAUUAUAAUUAAGUGAAAAUAUUUCAAUUAGCAUUAUAUCAUUCGGAAGUAAAAAUUAGGCUUACACAAAAAUUUUGGACUUCCCUUAUUGUAUAGAGUAUUAUGUUAUCAUGUACAAAAGUAAUUUAUAGUUAUCAAGGAAAUCUUAAAAGUAUUUGAGAUUGGUAAGUGUUUGUCUUGUUGUUACUCGAGUACUGAAAUAACAAAUUUGAGUGGUCCUAUAUCGCAACUAGACCAUACAACCCCUUUAACAAAUAUGAAUAAAAACACAAAAAGCUUUCACCCAAAUCUAACUCUUGUGGGUAUAUAGUUCAGCUUUAUACUAUAUAAGAACGAUCGCACUGUAAAGCAAAAUAAAUAAGUAACGAGUUGCUAUGUUUGGAUACACUCGAACGCUUGAAAAUAGAGAUGUCACAAAAGUUUAGUAUACAAAUUUUAGUUUCCGUAUUUUAUUUUUGUAAACCAUACAGACAGUAUUAAACAAUACCAAACACUGAGUUGAGUAGAUAAACGUAUACUAUAAAAUCAGAAAAUAUAGAAAACAGUUUUUCGAAUUCAGGCGAUCUUUAUCUUUAUUUCGAUAUCUUCGCUGAGUUUCAAAAUAUCUAUUGCAAUUUCAAAUAAGUAGAGAGGGUGUGUUUUUAGCCCAAUUCCACCAAUUUUCGGAUUUCUUGAGAUUACAUAAAAUAUAUAUCAGAAUACCAAGCGAUUCGAUCAACCAUAUCGCUUUCAGUUCGGCACCACUGUCACCUCUUUUUUACAAAGAAGAGAUAUACAGUACCAUGCAAUUUUAUUGUAAGACAGAUGAAAAAUGCACGAACGUUAAGCAAAAAAAAACGCUUUAUUUACGCCAGAAUAACUGACACAAAAUAGAAACAAUAGAACAAUAAGAGCGCGGUUUGUCGAAUACUAUCGUUAUGAUUAUUUUUAGAAAUUCAAUCACCACUGCAGUGCUUUGCGCUCCUCACACCCCCUCCAAUACCGCACCAUUUUGCUAUGCCAUGGCAAAAACGGCGCAGACCCACAAUCGCAGCUGUCGAAGCGAUUAAAACGCACUGAACGCCCGCGUGAAUGGCGAUCCACAUAAAAUCGCUUUGGCUGACACCUCACCGGACAGGUAAAUGAUGGGCGAGCGUAGCAAAUUAUUCAACGGAAUGAAUAAAUGUGUGUUUGUGGAGCAAACUGAUAACAACACAAACAAGCACCACUGCCAUUGAGUGCAAAAUAGAGCUGAGCACCUAGUGAGGUGUUAAUAGUAUAUAGCGGAUGAGAAUAGUGCGGUGCAGUCACCCUUGGAAUUACUGAACGGUUUUUCUAUUACAUGCAGUUAUGAUAUUAAACUUUAUAGUAUAGCAUUAUUCAUUUUUUACAGCUCAUUCAUAGCUACAAUACGAGUAUAAGUAGAAAUUACAUGGGUGUUAGAAGCUCUCAUGCAUAGUAAGCGGCCCAUGUAAAAAUAGUAGGAGAAUCGCAAAAAAAAUUGGUAGUUCAGUUACGCUGCACGAAUGAAUAGUAAGACUAAACUGUCGAGAGGUUCUUUGUACAAAUGAAAAAAAAAAAUAUUUUUAUUCAAAAAUUACGUAAAAAUAUAUAUAAGAAACUCCAAAAAGAUCUAAAUUUGAAAUAGAUAAUAAUGUCAUGUUCAAGCAAUAGUUAUAAAUGGAAGUUAGUUCCUAAAGAAUGGCGAUUUGAAUCCAUUGGAUUCAACUGUUUUAUUUAUUUACUAAUAAUGCUUCUAUCACGGUUGUUGGUUUGUCGUUAAGUUGCAUAUUGUCAACAUCUCAGAUUGGUAUUUUCGCUGAUAUAAGAGGCUCGGUCACAUUCAUUAAAGUUUUAGUCAUAGAAAAUUCCUAUCUCCUAAUAACAAAAUUUCAAGUAACUGAUUUUUUUUCUAUGUAUUAACAGUUAUCCAAUACAAGUAAUGUCUAACCGGAGUGCGUAUUUCUAUCGUUAACCAACAUGUGAUAAAGCAAUUCAGUUGUUCGGAGGUCGGCUUAAAACCCGCAAUCAAGACGCACAUACUAUCGCUCCAAAACUUAUUUACUCGCCAUACUUGUUGAAGUGUCAUGUGUAUAUAUAUUCUGACCAGCUGCUUACUUCCCCUAUACACUUACGUAAACCUAAUAAAAGAGGGAUCAGCGAGUGGAAGCAUAUGACUUGCGAAACCAAUCCAAAGUUAUUUCCUACAAGUGGCCACCAUACGGAGAUCUUAGCAAUGUUUAUAUGCCACCUCUAUCGUCCGAGCGAGGCUCUCUUUACAUGGAAGGCAUCCAUGAUUGAAUGUAUGGCAUAUAAUCUCAUAUCAUUUCAUUUGAUUAUGCCAGUCUAUCUCAUUUAUGCCAGUAGUGUGUUCGAUUUGCCACUCUUCAAAUUUAGGUAAAGCCUUCACCGGAGAAAAAUUACGAAUCAUUUGAAAGCGAAAAAUAGGUUUGGUACGAAAUGUGGCAUGUGGCAAGUGUAGCACAUACAAUGUUUACGUAUAACCUCAACUUUUUUUUAUUAAUUAUAUAUGUACAUACAUAAAUGUUGUUCUCCACUUAUAUGCAUAUGUACACUUGUGAUGCUGUACAUAGGCAUAUGCAUGUAAAUGCAUCCAUACACACAUAUGUACAAACAUACAUGUACCUAGGAGCUUGGACGCUCACCGUUGCAUUCUUCUAUUAGAGGAAGUGCAAUAGCGAUCACUGAAACGUGAUCACGAGAUUUUGUUGCUGCAACAACGACGACCCGUCGUCGCUGUGGCAUGACUUGCUAUGCAUGACGGCAUUGUGCGCUGUUUGGCCGGCUGACUGCCUAACUUGCUUGCGCAGCGCUGCUGAUCGUUCACCCGCUCGAUUCCAGCAUUCGCCUUUUACUCUUGGCCCUCUUCGUAAUUGGUGUAGACCCAAGCGACGACCGGGCCGGUUUAACUCGUUAUCUCAGUAAUGUGAGUUGCCGGUUCUUGGCUUAAACCGAAUUGUAUGGAAACAAAAAAAAUCUAAAAUAAUAGCUACAACAACAACAACAACAACAAAAAUAAGUCCAGCUCAUGCGUUUAAUGUGCUAUACAGUAGGGUGCUCGGAGAUAUAGUACAAAAAGAAAAGUACACAAACACAUACACGUAGAUAUGGAAGUAUAUAGUACACACUUAAAUGGUCAUAUGUGUACGGCGAAGGUGUCAAAGCUGAUGAUGAUGAUGACGACGACAGAAAGGCCAGUGUUUUAAGCUGAGAAAAAUUGAUCGAUAUGCAUUUAGACUCAAAUGAAUGAAAUGUAUUUACUAGAUUUAAAAAACAACAACGAUUCUAUGUUAAAAUUCGUGUGUGGUCUGCUUUAAUUGCUUGCUAUUACAUAUGGCUUUCAAUUAAGAUGAUUUAACCCAAAUAUCGUAAAACAAUAUCUCAUUACGGUAUAUUAACUAUUUUAAAGGUAACCCACGUGUAAUAUACACUUAUUUCGAGUUGAUGAUAAUAAAUAUAAUAAAAUCGAAAUAAUUUUAAAUUAUUUUCCCUUCGCUUUCAGCGUCUGUCAGCAUUUAACACUGUGAUCCAUGUGAAUAUAUGUAAGUGUGGUUGCAUUCUUAAAUGUUUACGACGAUCGGCGCUUUUGUCGACGUCAGCUUUUCUAAAGUUUUUUUAUUGUUUCAGUGGCUUCAAUUUCCACAACAUUUGCGCUAUCAACAAAUCAGAUUACUUUGUGUGUUUUACUAAGAUUUUGCGAAUUUUCCGCAAAUUCAUAAACAUUAUGCAAGUACAAGUGCGUAUAAUUAGAAUGUUUAUAUAAAAGCCUUUGAUUGUGCCUCACUGACACUACAGCACAUUACACCGCACUGCGCCGUUCUGCAUAUAUGUUAAUAAAUACGUGUGUGUCUGUGCAAUAACAAUAAUUUCUUGUGAUUUUACAGCUCAUCUGCAGCGUCCCUGCAGUUGCUAUGUACCGCGAAAAUCCGCGAUAUGUUGGCCCAGAAGUGGCAAAUUGGAUUUACAUUUGAAUCUGGUAACCGUUUUCAACGCCUUUACGCGCUAGCAAUAGUGUUGGCAACGAAAUUAUGUGGAGGAUACGCCACUCACUGCGCAGGAAGGAAAUGUUGCAAAUCAACACGCCACGAAAUUAGCGAAAAAUUCGACCGAAAACGCGUUUGAUGUACGAGUUGUGCACCAUUCCACGGCCUCUACUGAGCAUUUUUACACCAACAAAGCGUUCAAGUUACACAUUUCAUUUUGAGGGCCUCUGAGCGCGCACAUCAGGAAUCAGCAAGCGCUUUCACACCUUGCUCCAGACAACGCGCUAAACCCCCCACCGUUCUUAAGACACACACACGUCAACAGCCAGUAAAAAUACAAUUUAAUUCGCAAUAUAUUCGCCGCUCGAUACAAAACGUAUUCAAUUGUUUCGAAUAUAAAUUCAUAUAGUACGUAUUCCAUGCGUAAAUUAUGUGUGUUAAAAAAAUAAUCAAAAUGUUAUAGAAUUAUAAACACCAUAACCGCACAUGGAUAUAACAGCGGCAUAGCCAUAAAAACACGAAUAACCAUACGCACGUCCAAUAUUAUAUAGAUAUUACUGCCUCCAGCACUACUAACC